rnacentral:lncRNA from 1 species
CAACUCCUUACACACUUCCAAUGUGAAGACACCCCAUGAGUCUAGAUCAGGAGCAGCACAGGCCAUGUGACAAGUCCUCAGGUGGGACCAGGAAUCUCCUCUGCCAUCUUGGCUCUGCCUUUUGCUAACCAGGUUGGCCUCGAUCUUUCUGCACACCAAGGAUCAGAUCCCCUCCCCCACCAUGGACCAGCGGGACUGGAGAUGGACUUAAGAUGAACCUGGCUGGGUAAGUGAGAAACAGCUGAAGAACUCUUAAGCAUACCGACGCCCUCACAGGAGACCAUUGAAAGGCUGGAGACAGACUGACCUUCUCUUCCAAUCCUGGGAUCUAAUCUGCUAGAGCUUCCUGGAAGAGACAAAGUGUCUUAGGUGUGGUGGACCGCAGGGGGUGGAACAGUGGGUGAGGAGUGCUGGCAGGGGGUGGGGGGUGGGAAGCAUUACUCCAGGAGCCAAGUUGGGUGAUGCUGUUAAAAACAGGAUCAGAGAGAAUAUUGCUUCUUCAGGAGCCAGGAAGUCACACAACUGGGACCAGUGAAAGGGCCCUGUGGACUGGGGCCUCAGCUUUAAAAUUUAACAAAAGAACCAGAGAGAGAGUUAGGGAUGGAGGUCUGAGGAGGGAAGAGCCUAGGCUGGGAGGACAAGCCAGGUUUACCUCUGAAGACUAGACAUGGGGUGGACUGCUCAGGGAAUCUGGAGUCUAGUAGUUUUGAGGCUAGGAAUAUCUGUAAGAGAGGUUGCAGGCUCGGCACAGGGCCAGUGAAGACCCCUGAGUGUUCUAACAGGAAAGCCAGGCUCAUUGCUUGUCAGGCAGGGCAUCUGGUCCAGGACACUCAAUUCACUAGUUUCUAGUCGCCCACAGGGAACCGGGGCCAAGCUCAGCUGCCCAGUCCUGAGUAGGUCAGAGCUGGCCUGCUCCAGUGGGAAAUGGGAGCAGAUGGACACACAAGCAAACAACCACUGGACAAUCGGCCCCCUCAACAGUCUCUCUCUAAAGAUGCCCCUUGCCAUGGUGUUUAUCAUCAUUUUAAAAAAUCCAGAGACAAUCUGUAUAACCAACCACUAGAUGGAUGAGACGAUUCCUAGUAAACCAAAAGGUAGGAUCACUCUUCUUUUAAAAACAUUUUUAAAAUGUGUAUUUGUUUCUGUAUGUAUGAGUGUGUGCAGUGUGUACCCACAGAGGUCAGAAGAGGGUAUUGGAUCUCCUGAAGUCUGUCUGUCUAUCUAUCCAUCCAUCCAUCCAUCCAUCCAUUUAUCCUCUAUCUAUCUAUCCAUCCAUCCCUCUAUUUAUCUCUAUCUAUCUAUCUAUCUAUCUAUCUAUCUAUCUAUCUAUCUAUCUAUCUAUCUAUUUACCUACCUAUUUAGGCAUGGUCUUCCUCUGUGUAGCCCAGACUGGCCUAGACAGAGCUAUGCAGAGAAGGGUAACCUUAAUUUUUUUUUAAAGAUGUAUUAUUUUAUUUCAUGUGUAUGAGUGUUUGCCUGCAGUACGCCUGGGACCUGCAGAGGUCCAAAGAGUUGGAUUUCCUUGAACCAAAGCUAGGUUGAG